GAUGAACGCUGGCGGCGUGCCUAAUACAUGCGAGUCGAGCGAACAGACGAGGAGCUUGCUCCUCUGACGUUAGCGGCGGACGGGUGAGUAACACGUGGAUAACCUACCUAUAAGACUGGGAUAACUUCGGGAAACCGGAGCUAAUACCGGAUAAUAUAUUGAACCGCAUGGUUCAAUAGUGAAAGACGGUUUUGCUGUCACUUAUAGAUGGAUCCGCGCCGUAUUAGCUAGUUGGUAAGGUAACGGCUUACCAAGGCAACGAUGCGUAGCCGACCUGAGAGGGUGAUCGGCCACACUGGAACUGAGACACGGUCCAGACUCCUACGGGAGGCAGCAGUAGGGAAUCUUCCGCAAUGGGCGAAAGCCUGACGGAGCAACGCCGCGUGAGUGAUGAAGGUCUUCGGAUCGUAAAACUCUGUUAUUAGGGAAGAACAAAUGUGUAAGUAACUAUGCACGUCUUGACGGUACCUAAUCAGAAAGCCACGGCUAACUACGUG
rnacentral:rRNA from 1 species